GGCCUUGUUGAAGAUGGCUGAGUGUAAACCAGAAUGCAAAUCAGCUGGGGCACGUACUACUGGAGGCAGCGCCCCAUGAGAAGGGGCCAAGAACCCGCACCCACCAAAAUCAAGAUGAAAGGCUGAACCCGGAGAGAAAAGGGAGCAACUGAUGUUGCCAUGCAGAUCCCUUGGUUGCUAUGAGAUGGUAACAUCACUCUGCCCCGCGAUUGGCCAGUGCCUCCUCAGCUGUGGUGCCUCCCAGGCUGUGUGGUUCUCAUGUGGGCCACUGACACAGAGCUGUUACUAUGGUGAACUUUACAAUUUCCUUUGAUUGGUGGAUUUCAGAAAUAGGCCAUCAGUGGAAUUCAUUAUAUUCAGCUAAGUAAAAA